rnacentral:rRNA from 1 species
GAUGAACGCUGGCGGCGUGCCUAAUACAUGCAAGUCGAGCGAACAGAUGAGGAGCUUGCUCCUCUGACGUUAGCGGCGGACGGGUGAGUAACACGUGGAUAACCUACCUAUAAGACUGGGAUAACUUCGGGAAACCGGAGCUAAUACCGGAUAAUAUAUUGAACCGCAUGGUUCAAUAGUGAAAGACGGUUUUGCUGUCACUUAUAGAUGGAUCCGCGCCGCAUUAGCUAGUUGGUAAGGUAACGGCUUACCAAGGCAACGAUGCGUAGCCGACCUGAGAGGAUGAUCGGCCACACUGGAACUGAGACACGGCCCAGACUCCUACGGGAGGCAGCAGUAGGGAAUCUUCCGCAAUGGGCGAAAGCCUGACGGAGCAACGCCGCGUGAGUGAUGAAGGUCUUCGGAUCGUAAAACUCUGUUAUUAGGGAAGAACAAAUGUGUAAGUAACUAUGCACGUCUUGACGGUACCUAAUCAGAAAGCCACGGCUAACUACGUG